rnacentral:rRNA from 1 species
CCUACGGGAGGCAGCAGUGAGGAAUAUUGGUCAAUGGGCGUAAGCCUGAACCAGCCAAGUCGCGUGAGGGAUGAAGGUUCUAUGGAUCGUAAACCUCUUUUAUAAGGGAAUAAAGUGUGGGACGUGUCCUGUUUUGUAUGUACCUGAUGAAUAAGGAUCGGCUAACUCCGUGCCAGCAGCCGCGGUAAUACGGAGGAUCCGAGCGUUAUCCGGAUUUAUUGGGUUUAAGGGGUGCGUAGGCGGCGUUUUAAGUGAGCGGUGAAAGUCGGUGGCUCAACCAUAGAAUUGCCGUUGAAACUGGGAGGCUUGAGUAUGUGAGAGGCAGGCGGAAUGCGUGGUGUAGCGGUGAAAUGCUUAGAUAUCACGCAGAACACCGAUUGCGAAGGCAGCUUGCCAAGCCAUGACUGACGCUGAUGCACGAAAGCGUGGGGAUCAAACAGGAUUAGAUACCCCAGUAGUC